CUGCGAUGAAACUGGCCCAGCGCCAGCUCCAUGUAGAAGAGAGGCACGCCACCGAACACGGCCAUCAACAGCAGAUGUAUGGAAAGCGCCACACGUUCCCCAGGUCCACCGCUUACCCAACGACUGACAGCAGGAAGUCCAUCUUUUUGCUCCAGGUCUCCCUAGGUGGAUCCAGACUGGUCUGCUGGACCACCAGAGUCCUGAACGUUCCAGCCGCGAUCCCUCUGUCCAUCCCGGCACCUGCACCUUCCCUCGGGCUUUGUGGGGAUGUGCUCGGGUAACCGUUGGAGACUUGCCCAGACCCUGAGACUGACUUCUGUUCCUUCUCUGGAACACUGUCCGCAACCAGUCGGCCGUUCUCUUGUGACUCCUGUUCUUUCUCCUGCUCCUCAUGGUCUCGAUUCAUCAUCACUGGUUGUUUCAUCUCCAUGCUGAGGACUACUGUUAGGGUUGAGACGGUGGUCCUAUUACACUGGCUGAUAUCACGCCCAUGAGGGGAUUGAGAGCUUUGAGAAGAAGGGUCCGGUGUGGAACAGAGUGGGCUGGAGAAAUCAAUGAGGGUUCAACCGGUUCUUAACCGGUAGGUUUUAACAAGCAGAAAACUGACAAGAAUCUGCUCAGGCCCAGCUGCAAAAUAAAAGGACAAGGAUUUUACAUGAUGCUGGGGGGAGUUUCAUAUGGAUUUAACACUAUUCAUUCAUUCGUCUAAAGAAAUGACA